rnacentral:rRNA from 1 species
AUGACUCAGGAAGACACGCAGGCGCCCGUGAACUUCUGGGGCGAGCACCCGGCCACGGAGGCGGAGUACUACGCAGCCCACGGCGCGGAGGGCGAGUCGUCCUACUUCUCCACGCCGGACGACGCGGGCGCGCGCCGCCUCUUCACGCGCUCGUGGCGCCCGGCGGGUGGGGGCGCCGGCGCGCGGCCGAGGGCGCUCGUGUUCAUGGUCCACGGCUACGGCAACGACAUCAGCUGGACGUUCCAGGCCACGGCCGUCUUCCUGGCCCGCUCCGGCUUCGCCUGCUUCGCCGCCGACCUCCCCGGCCACGGCCGCUCCCACGGCCUGCAGGCCUUCGUCCCCGAUCUCGAGGUCGCCGUCGCCGACCUGCUCGCCUUCUUCCGGUCCGUCCGGCGGCGCGAGGAGCACGCCGGGCUGCCGUGCUUCCUGUUCGGGGAGUCAAUGGGCGGGGCCAUCUGCCUGCUGAUCCACCUCCGCACGCCGCCGGGGGAGUGGGCGGGGGCCGUACUGGUGGCGCCCAUGUGCAGGAUCUCCGACCGGAUCCGCCCGCGCUGGCCGGUGCCGGAGAUCCUCACCCUCGUGUCGCGGUUCGCGCCGACUCUCCCCAUCGUGCCCACGGCCGACCUCAUCGAGAAGUCCGUCAAGGUGCCCGCCAAGCGCCUGAUCGCCGCGCGCAACCCAAUGCGCUACAACGGCCGGCCCAGGCUCGGCACCGUCAUGGAGCUGCUGCGCGCCACCGACGAGCUCGGCGCGCGCCUCGGCGAGGUCACCAUCCCGUUCCUCGUCGUGCACGGCAGCGCCGACGAGGUGACCGACCCCGCCGUCAGCGGCGCGUUGUACGAGGCCGCGGCCAGCGAGGACAAGACCAUCAAGAUGUACGACGGGAUGCUCCACUCCAUGCUCUUCGGCGAGCCGGAGGAGAACAUCGAGCGUGUCCGGGGCGACAUCCUCGCCUGGCUCAGCGAGAGAUGCACGCCGGCAGCAACUUCCUGA